UACGUAGGUGGCAAGCGUUGUCCGGAUUUAUUGGGUUUAAAGGGUGCGUAGGUGGUCUAUUAAGUCACACGUGAAAUCCCCAGGCUUAACCUGGGAACUGCGUGUGAUACUGGAUGGCUUGAAUCCGGGAGAGGGAUGCGGAAUUCCAGGUGUAGCGGUGAAAUGCGUAGAUAUCUGGAGGAACACCGGUGGCGAAGGCGGCAUCCUGGACCGGUAUUGACACUGAAAAGCGAAAGCCAGGGGAGCAAACGGG
rnacentral:rRNA from 1 species